rnacentral:rRNA from 1 species
GUGUCAGCAGCCGCGGUAAUACGUAGGCAGCAAGCGUUGUUCGGAGUUACUGGGCGUAAAGGGUGUGUAGGCGGUCGUUUAAGUUUGGUGUGAAAUCUCCCGGUUCAACUGGGAGGGUGCGCCGAAUACUGAAUGACUCGAGUGCGGGAGAGGAAAGUGGAAUUCCUGGUGUAGCGGUGAAAUGCGUAGAUAUCAGGAGGAACACCGGUGGUGUAGACGGCUUUCUGGACCGUAACUGACGCUGAAACACGAAAGCGUGGGUAGCAAACAGGAUUAGAAACCCGAGUAGUCC